rnacentral:rRNA from 1 species
AGUGAACGCUGGCGGUAGGCCUAACACAUGCAGGUCGAACGGCAGCACAGUAAGAGCUUGCUCUUACGGGUGGCGAGUGGCGGACGGGUGAGGAAUACAUCGGAAUCUACUUUUUCGUGGGGGAUAACGUAGGGAAACUUACGCUAAUACCGCAUACGACCUACGGGUGAAAGCAGGGGAUCUUCGGACCUUGCGCGAUUGAAUGAGCCGAUGUCGGAUUAGCUAGUUGGCGGGGUAAAGGCCCACCAAGGCGACGAUCCGUAGCUGGUCUGAGAGGAUGAUCAGCCACACUGGAACGGAGACACGGUCCGGACUCCUACGGGAGGCAGCAGUGGGGAAUAUUGGACAAUGGGCGCAAGCCUGAUCCAGCCAUACCGCGUGGGUGAAGAAGGCCUUCGGGUUGUAAAGCCCUUUUGUUGGGAAAGAAAAGCAGCAGGUUAAUACCCCGCUGUUCUGACGGUACCCAAAGAAUAAGCACCGGCUAACUUCGUG